GACGAACGCUGGCGGCGUGCUUAACACAUGCAAGUCGAACGGAAAGGCCCUGCUUUUGUGGGGUGCUCGAGUGGCGAACGGGUGAGUAACACGUGAGUAACCUGCCCUUGACUUUGGGAUAACUUCAGGAAACUGGGGCUAAUACCGGAUAGGAGCUCCUGCUGCAUGGUGGGGGUUGGAAAGUUUCGGCGGUUGGGGAUGGACUCGCGGCUUAUCAGCUUGUUGGUGGGGUAGUGGCUUACCAAGGCUUUGACGGGUAGCCGGCCUGAGAGGGUGACCGGCCACCUUGGGACUGAGAUACGGCCCAGACUCCUACGGGAGGCAGCAGUGGGGAAUAUUGCACAAUGGGCGGAAGCCUGAUGCAGCAACGCCGCAUGCGGGAUGACGGCCUUCGGGUUGUAAACCGCUUUCGCCUGUGACGAAGCGUGAGUGACGGUAAUGGGUAAAGAAGCACCGGCUAACUACGUG
rnacentral:rRNA from 1 species